rnacentral:rRNA from 1 species
UACAGAGGGGGCAAGCGUUGUUCGGAAUUACUGGGCGUAAAGGGCGCGUAGGCGGCCUGCUAAGUCGAACGUGAAAUCCCUGGGCUCAACCCAGGAACUGCGUCCGAUACUGGUUGGCUUGAAUCCGGGAGAGGGACGUGGAAUUCCAGGUGUAGCGGUGAAAUUCGUAGAUAUUCGGAAGAACACCAGUGGCGAAGGCGGCUCACUGGCCCGGUACUGACGCUGAGGUGCGAAAGCGUGGGGAGCAAACGGG